rfam:Ictidomys tridecemlineatus contig030448, whole genome shotgun sequence.
GGGGUUGUGGCUCAGUGGUAGAGUGCUUGCCUAGCAUGUAUGAGGCACUGGGUUUGAUCCUCAGCACCA